rnacentral:lncRNA from 1 species
AAUUUUUAAUUCUAUUUUCUCUAUUAGUCUAUAUUUAUAAUAUAAUUUUUUUUAUUAUACCCUUUCCAUGCAUAUUAUUGCAAAACGUACAACAUAUGUCCAAAAAAUGAUCUUCUCUUUAACUUUUAAGGUAUCAAAUCUUAUUUUAAAAAAAAAUCAUAGCUUAUGAUUUGUAUCUUUUUUAUCUCUAAUUGAAUCUCUUUCUUUCUUUAACUUUUGCAAAGUUCUUUUCUAACAUCUUAAUCUCUUUUGUCCUCGUGAAAAUAAGCCCACAACUUUUAAAUUUAGGUAUAUUCAACUAUAAGAUCUUACAAUCUACUUAUCAACCUCUAUAAGUUUUUUAGACAAUGUAUCAUCACCC